rnacentral:rRNA from 1 species
AAACUGAAGAGUUUGAUCCUGGCUCAGAUUGAACGCUGGCGGCAUGCCUAACACAUGCAAGUCGAACGGUAACGCGGAGAGCUUGCUCUCUGGCGACGAGUGGCGGACGGGUGAGUAAUGCGUAGGAAUCUGCCCUGCAGCGGGGGAUAGCCCGGGGAAACCCGGAUUAAUACCGCGUACGCUCUACGGAGGAAAGUGGGCCUCUUCUUGAAAGCUCACACUGCAGGAUGAGCCUACGUCCGAUUAGCUAGUUGGUAGGGUAAAAGCUUACCAAGGCGACGAUCGGUAGCUGGUCUGAGAGGAUGAUCAGCCACACUGGGACUGAGACACGGCCCAGACUCCUACGGGAGGCAGCAGUGGGGAAUAUUGGACAAUGGGCGCAAGCCUGAUCCAGCAAUGCCGCGUGUGUGAAGAAGGCCUGCGGGUUGUAAAGCACUUU